CAUUUUAGCUUAUUUACCCAAUUUAAAAAUUAAAUCUCUCUUAAAUGUAAAAAGACAUUUAUACUUUAGAAAGACGAUAAGACCCUAUUGAACUUAACUGUAGUUAAACUGGGGCAGUAAAUUAAUUUUAAUUUUAAUAAAAAUAUAAAUAUUAUUAUCUAUUAAAAUUAAAUAAUUCAGUUACCAUAGGGAUAACAGCGUAAUAGAUUUUUAAAGAUCUUAUUUAAAAAUCAAAUUGCGACCUCGAUGUUGAAUUAAUAUACUAAUUAAGGCAAGACUUAUAAAAGCAAGUCUGUUCGACUUUUAAAAAAUUACA
rnacentral:rRNA from 1 species